AGGCAGCAGUGGGGAAUAUUGCGCAAUGAGCGAAAGCCUGACGCAGCCACGCCGCGUGUGUGAUGAAGGCCCUCGGGUCGUAAAGCACUGUCGGGGGGAAAGAAGUUCUGACGGUACCCCCCAAGAAAGCACCGGCUAACUCCGUGCCAGCAGCCGCGGUAAUACGGAGGGUGCGAGCGUUGCUCGGAAUCACUGGGCGUAAAGCGUACGCAGGUGGUUUGUUAAGUCGGGUGUGAAAUCCCGGAGCUCAACUCCGGAACUGCGCCCGAUACUGGCAGACUUGAGUACGGGAGAGGGAAGCGGAAUUCCUGGUGUAGAGGUGAAAUUCGUAGAUAUCAGGAGGAACACCAGUGGCGAAAGCGGCUUCCUGGCCCGAUACUGACACUCAUGUACGAAAGCNGUGGGUAGCAAACAGGAUUAGAUACCCUGGUAG
rnacentral:rRNA from 1 species